CUACACAGUAACAACAGGUACAAUUUGGACAAUUAAAAUCCUACAUAGACGGUGCAAAAUAUGAUUUUGAAAAAUAUGAUUUUGAAAAGUCCCUAUUUAUUCUUAAGCUUUUUGAGUGUCAAGUAUCCAAUGUGUAUAUCCAAUAUAACUCAGGAAAAUUGAGGUCCUGGCGAAACUCUAUUUAAAAGUGUUCUAAAGGGGCCACAUACCCCAACACAGAU